UGAAAAAAAAUGAAAACUUACUUCUAUCAUAAAAAUCUUUUUAUUUUAAGACCCUCAUUGACAUGUUUACUUUGUAAAAGAAAUUUAAUAUUUUGUAAGAAUUAUCUUCUUUGAGAAAUUAUGAAAGUGGAUCCAUUGUAUAGCAUGGUUCAUAGGGAUCCAAGCCAACCAUGCAUCCGCAUAUUUUUCUAUGUUUUGAAAUUUUUUUUCACUUUCAGUGUAUGACAGAAAUCAUGGGGUGCAGAGUUUAGUUUGAUGUGCGCCUAAAUUUGUCGUUGUAUGUUUAUAAAUGUACACUUAACCUCAUUAAAAGAGUUCGUUAUAAAUGC
rnacentral:sRNA from 1 species